UACGAACUGUGCAAACGUUAUUCGGAAUCACUGGGCUUAAAGGGUGCGUAGGCGUCUUGUUAAGUAGGGUGUGAAAUCCCCCGGCUCAACCGGGGAAUUGCGCCCUAAACUGGCGAGCUGGAGUGAGAUAGGGGGUGUGUGGAACUUCCAGUGGAGCGGUGAAAUGUGUUGAUAUUGGAAGGAACGCCAGUGGCGAAAGCGACACACUGGGUCUCAAACUGACGCUGAGGCACGAAAAGCCAGGGGGAGCAAAACAGG
rnacentral:rRNA from 1 species